rnacentral:tRNA from 1 species
GGUAACUGGUGUGCCUCCUGGUCUUCAAAACCUGUGUGGGGUGUUGAUCAUCCCGGGUGGGUUCGAUUCCCACAUAUUCC